ACUCAAAUGAAUAGACGGGGGUCCGCACAAGCGGUGGAACAUGUGGUUUAAUUCGACACUACGCGAGAAACCUUACCUGGGUUUGACAUGUGCCUGACGGUCACAGAGAUGUGGCUUUCUGGGUUUACUCAGACAGGUACACAGGUGCUGCAUGGCUGUCGUCAGCUCGUGUCGUGAGAUGUUGGGUUAAGUCCUUUAACGAGCGCAACCCUUGCUGCCAGUUGCAACUGCCUUAUGGUAAAGCACUCUGGUGGGACUGCCCGGGAAACCGGGAGGAAGGUGGGGACGACGUCAAGUCAUCAUGGCCCUUAUGUCCAGGGCUACACACGUGUUACAAUGGCCGGUACAAAGAGUUGCAAACUUGUAAAAGUAAGCCAAUCUCACAAAGCCGGUCUAAGUUCGGAUUGAGGUCUGCAACUCGACCUCAUGAAGUUGAAAUCGCUAGUAAUCGCGCAUCAUCACGGCGCGGUGAAUACGUUCACGGACCUUGCACACACCGCCCGU
rnacentral:rRNA from 1 species